UAGGGAAUAUUGGUAAUGUGCGAAAGCGCGAACCAGCAACGCCGCGUGCGCGAUGAAGGCCUUCGGGUUGUAAAGCGCUUUUUAUGGGGAUGAGGAAGGACAGUACUCAUAGAAUAAGCCUCGGCUAACUACGUGCCAGCAGCCGCGGUAAAACGUAGGAGGCGAGCGUUAUCCGGAUUUACUGGGCGUAAAGCGUGUGUAGGCGGUUUGAUAAGUUGGAUGUGAAAGCUCCUGGCUUAACUGGGAGAGGUCGUUCAAAACUAUC
rnacentral:rRNA from 1 species